GAGGAGUGGCGAACGGGUGAGUAACACGUGGGUAACCUGCCCAUCAGAAGGGGAUAACACUUGGAAACAGGUGCUAAUACCGUAUAACAAUCGAAACCGCAUGGUUUCGUUUUGAAAGGCGCUUUACGGUGCCGCUGAUGGAUGGACCCGCGGUGCAUUAGCUAGUUGGUGAGGUAACGGCUCACCAAGGCCACGAUGCAUAGCCGACCUGAGAGGGUGAUCGGCCACAUUGGGACUGAGACACGGCCCAAACUCCUACGGGAGGCAGCAGUAGGGAAUCUUCGGCAAUGGACGAAAGUCUGACCGAGCAACGCCGCGUGAGUGAAGAAGGUUUUCGGAUCGUAAAACUCUGUUGUUAGAGAAGAACAAGGGUGAGAGUAACUGUUCACCCCUUGACGGUAUCUAACCAGAAAGCCACGGCUAACUACGUGCCAGCAGCCGCGGUAAUACGUAGGUGGCAAGCGUUGUCCGGAUUUAUUGGGCGUAAAGCGAGCGCAGGCGGUUUCUUAAGUCUGAUGUGAAAGCCCCCGGCUCAACCGGGGAGGGUCAUUGGAAACUGGGAGACUUGAGUGCAGAAGAGGAGAGUGGAAUUCCAUGUGUAGCGGUGAAAUGCGUAGAUAUAUGGAGGAACACCAGUGGCGAAGGCGGCUCUCUGGUCUGUAACUGACGCUGAGGCUCGAAAGCGUGGGG
rnacentral:rRNA from 1 species